ACUCAAAGGAAUAGACGGGGGCCCGCACAAGCAGUGGAGCAUGUGGUUUAAUUCGAUGCAACGCGAAGAACCUUACCUGGGCUCGAAAUGUAGAGGACGACAUCAGAGAUGAUGUUUCCCGAAAGGGCCUUUAUAUAGGUGCUGCAUGGCUGUCGUCAGCUCGUGCCGUGAGGUGUUUGGUUAAGUCCAGCAACGAGCGCAACCCUUAUCGUUAGUUGCCAACAUGUAAUGGUGGGAACUCUAACGAGACUGCCUGGGUUAACCAGGAGGAAGGUGAGGAUGACGUCAAGUCCGCAUGGCCUUUAUGUCCAGGGCUACACACGUGCUACAAUGGUCGGUACAGAAGGCAGCAGAGCCGCAAGGUGAAGCAAAUCCCGAAAAACCGAUCUCAGUUCAGAUUGUAGUCUGCAACUCGACUACAUGAAGUUGGAAUUGCUAGUAAUGGCGUGUCAGCAACAACGCCGUGAAUACGUUCCCGGGCCUUGCACACACCGCCCGU
rnacentral:rRNA from 1 species